rnacentral:rRNA from 1 species
GAUGAACGCUAGCUACAGGCUUAACACAUGCAAGUCGAGGGGCAGCAUGGUCUUAGCUUGCUAAGGCCGAUGGCGACCGGCGCACGGGUGAGUAACACGUAUCCAACCUGCCGUCUACUCUUGGACAGCCUUCUGAAAGGAAGAUUAAUACAAGAUGGCAUCAUGAGUCCACAUGUUCACAUGAUUAAAGGUAUUCCGGUAGACGAUGGGGAUGCGUUCCAUUAGAUAGUAGGCGGGGUAACGGCCCACCUAGUCUUCGAUGGAUAGGGGUUCUGAGAGGAAGGUCCCCCACAUUGGAACUGAGACACGGUCCAAACUCCUACGGGAGGCAGCAGUGAGGAAUAUUGGUCAAUGGGCGAGAGCCUGAACCAGCCAAGUAGCGUGAAGGAUGACUGCCCUAUGGGUUGUAAACUUCUUUUAUAAAGGAAUAAAGUCGGGUAUGCAUACCCGUUUGCAUGUACUUUAUGAAUAAGGAUCGGCUAACUCCGUGCCAGUAGCCGCGGUAAUACGGAGGAUCCGAGCGUUAUCCGGAUUUAUUGGGUUUAAAGGGAGCGUAGAUGGAUGUUUAAGUCAGUUGUGAAAGUUUGCGGCUCAACCGUAAAAUUGCAGUUGAUACUGGAUAUCUUGAGUGCAGUUGAGGCAGGCGGAAUUCGUGGUGUAGCGGUGAAAUGCUUAGAUAUCACGAAGAACUCCGAUUGCGAAGGCAGCCUGCUAAGCUGCAACUGACAUUGAGGCUCGAAAGUGUGGGUAUCAAACAGGAUUAGAUACCCUGGUAGUCCACACGGUAAACGAUGAAUACUCGCUGUUUGCGAUAUACAGCAAGCGGCCAAGCGAAAGCGUUAAGUAUUCCACCUGGGGAGUACGCCGGCAACGGUGAAACUCAAAGGAAUUGACGGGGGCCCGCACAAGCGGAGGAACAUGUGGUUUAAUUCGAUGAUACGCGAGGAACCUUACCCGGGCUUAAAUUGCAGAUGAAUUACGGUGAAAGCCGUAAGCCGCAAGGCAUCUGUGAAGGUGCUGCAUGGUUGUCGUCAGCUCGUGCCGUGAGGUGUCGGCUUAAGUGCCAUAACGAGCGCAACCCUUGUUGUCAGUUACUAACAGGUUCUGCUGAGGACUCUGACAAGACUGCCAUCGUAAGAUGUGAGGAAGGUGGGGAUGACGUCAAAUCAGCACGGCCCUUACGUCCGGGGCUACACACGUGUUACAAUGGGGGGUACAGAGGGCCGCUACCACGCGAGUGGAUGCCAAUCCCAAAAACCUCUCUCAGUUCGGACCGGAGUCUGCAACCCGACUCCACGAAGCUGGAUUCGCUAGUAAUCGCGCAUCAGCCACGGCGCGGUGAAUACGUUCCCGGGCCUUGUACACACCGCCCGUCAAGCCAUGGGAGCCGGGGGUACCUGAAGUGCGUAACCGCGAGGAGCGCCCUAGGGUAAAACUGGUGACUGGGGCU